UCGGGAAUUUUGGGCAAUGGGCGAAAGCCUGACCCAGCAACGCCGCGUGAGGGAUGAAGUAUUUCGGUAUGUAAACCUCGAAAGAAUGGGAAGAAUAAAUGACGGUACCAUUUAUAAGCUCCGGCUAACUACGUGCCAGCAGCCGCGGUCAUACGUGGGGAGCAAGCGUUGUUCGGAUUUACUGGGCGUAAAGGGCGCGUAGGCGGCGCGGUAAGUCACUUGUGAAAUCUCUGAGCUUAACUCAGAACGGCCAAGUGAUACUGCUGUGCUAGAGUGCGGAAGAGGCAACCGGAAUUCUUGGUGUAGCGGUGAAAUGCGUAGAUAUCAAGAGGAACACCUGAGGCGAAGGCGGGUUGCUGGGCCGACACUGACGCUGAUGCGCGAAAGCCAGGGGAGCAAACG
rnacentral:rRNA from 1 species